GUCUACAGCUAUGCCACCCUGAACAAGCCCGAUCCCGUCUGAUUCCGGAAGCUAAGCAGGGUCAGGCUUGGUUAGUACUUGGAUGGGAGACCACCUAGGAAGACCAGGUGCUAUAGGCG
rfam:Pteropus alecto contig72253, whole genome shotgun sequence.